UGAGGGAGUUCGAGGUUUGGGAGACAGUUUAGCAGUCGCUGAGUCCAAACAUGUUGUUUUCCUAGAAAAGAAAACUGAGAUCCAGGAAAGGGAAGUGAUUUUCCAAAGACACACCUGUGAAAGGUAAUAAUUUCACUGAACGGAUCUUAAGUGGCAGGUGCACUAAGAUUGUCUGCUAUCUUCACAACAACCCCGAAGUAAAUAAGUGCUCUUAUCUUGGUCUUACAGGUGAGGAGAACAGCCCAGUGAGGCUGAGGCCACACAAUUAACCCCAGUCUUUGCACUACAACUCUACCAGGGAUCCUGGUUUGGCUCAUUUUCUUUCUUCUGCACCAUGAUUGUUCACCUUUUCAUUACCAGCAACAUACCCAAAGACCUAGCUAUAGACUCGUUGGAAUCUGUUACUUAGCAGCUGUGUGAAUCAAGUGUUCAAUAGGAAUAAUAAGAUGUAUUCAUCUUACCUUUUCAGAACAUUAUGAAGAACAAAUGUGGUAAGACAUAUGAAAAUGCUUUGUAAAGUGUUAGAUGCUUAAUACACAGAAGACAUUGCUUCCAGAUCUGUUUCAACGUACCCCAAGAAUGGAAUAAGUGGAAUAUGCUGGUUUCAUGCACUGUGGCAAGGGGGUCUCAUCUUGGCUAGACUUGAAUAAGUGGAUUUGUUGCCUGGCCUCUGUGGAUGGCUCUUUCUCUGGGCUUUUGUGUAUUUGAUUUUUUAUUUGCUCCAGCAGCCGUGUUGAACCAUGAAAGGACCUCAGGAAUGAAACCCACACACAGCAAAGCAACAAAGUGAAAGAAGCGUGGAUUCCUAAUGCAGGAGGCACUGAACCAAUCAAUACCCACUGCCCUCCAGACCUCCACAUGAAAGAAAAAAACUGCUGUCCUGUGAAGAAGACACUCCCCAGAUGCCAGCAACUUGAUAUUGGACUUCCUGCCUUUAGAAACGUGAGAAAUAAAUUUUUUUUCUUUAUAAGUUACCCAGCCUCUGGCAUUCUGUUAUAGCAGCACAGAACAGACUAAGACAGCCACUGAAACCAGAUCUAUGUCCCGGACCACCCUCAUUUGCCUCAAUUUCUCUCUAUAUAUAAUAAGAACAAAUAAUGCAAAUGCUAUCUAUACUUCCCCGUGACUACAGGGAGACUAAGGGAUGAAAUAUAUAAUCACACUUUGAAAAUAUAUAAAUGUUAUCCAACCAUACAUCCAUUGUUUCACAUCAGGCUGGGCCACAUAGCUUCCUCUGUACCCUUUAGUUUCCUGCCCUUAUCUCUAUCACAGGCCAUAUAUCAAAUGCCUAGUAAUUAUCAGUGCAUCUAUAUAUUCCCUAUUCUCCCCAACAAUACAUAAAAGGUUAUUGCAUUGCAUUGAAUUAUAAGACUUGAUUACUGGAAAGUCUAGACAUCACUCAGGGUCAUUGUGGGGCAGCAUGGGGAUUAUGCAGUGUCAUUAUCCACUAAGCACACUGGAGGUCACACCAGUGAAGUAGCACGUCAGAUGUAAGCAAGACAGAGCUGGGUUGUGAAACUCUGGAACCAGCUGAGCUGAAAGUUUGUGUAAUUUCCUUCCUGCUCAGAGAUGGUUCCAUAUAGUAGACAGAGAGGAGACACGGAGCUUCUCUGGUAAGCUGUGGAGGCCCUGUAAUGCUCUAACUGCAUUCUAUGAAAGCUUUUCCUGCAUUAGCAACCUGCCCAUUACCAGAGAAAAGAGAUAUUUUCCCUAAGAUUCUUAGAAUCAUAGCACAGAAAUAGAUCUUAUUAUUCAUUUAUUCAUUCCUACAUUUAUGUAUUCAUUCAUUCAACAAAGAUUUAUUGAGUACUGUUCUAGGCAUUAAAGAGAUAGUGUUUGAGAUGAACAGAUAUUUUCCUUGUCCUCAUGGAACUUACAGUCAGGAAACACAUUAAAGAAAUAAACACACAAAUAUGUAGUUGAUUCAAGUGCAAGUAGAAAGGAAAACAGAAAACUGUAAGAGAGGGAAGCUGAUUUUGAUUGAAGUUUAAUUUAGAGUGGGGAUUUUGAAGAGGCAGAUAACAUUACACACAUUGUUUCUGGUCUCAACAACUCUAUGAAGUGCCUAUUAUCACAACUAUUGUACAGAUAGGGAAACCGAGGUUUAUGGAAAUUGGGUGACUGGGCUAGGGAAGCACUAUUAGUAAGUUUGGAGCAGGUUGUGCUCUCUCUGGUACUCCGUGCUGCAUAACAGAAACCCGGAAGGUGAAAAUUUUCCCACUUCCCACCUUUGCACAUACCAUGCCUACUUCCACCUAAAAUGCCUCUCCCUUCAUUCUUAUUGGAUUCAUAUUCUGCCAUCAGUAUCUAGUUGAGGAUGUACCUCCUCUGUAAAGUUCCUCCUUCUAUCUCAAUAAAUCUCUUUUCUUGUAGGAUUCCUGCAACAAUCAUCAAAUAUUACUUACAUGGCCUUGAACCUAGGAUAGCUUGUCAAGUUAAUUCUCUUUUUCACAUGCUUGCCCUGAUGCUCUUACUCAGAGGCCUACAGACAGUACAAUGCCAUUAGAGCCAGACAGACUUGGGCCUUCUCCCAGUUCUACAGAU
rnacentral:lncRNA from 1 species